rnacentral:rRNA from 1 species
GGAAAUCUCACCAGGCCCGGACACUGGAAGGAUUGACAGAUUGAGAGCUCUUUCUCGAUUCGGUGGGUGGUGGUGCAUGGCCGUUCUUAGUUGGUGGAGUGAUUUGUCUGGUUAAUUCCGAUAACGAACGAGACUCUGUCCUGCUAAAUAGUGUCAGCCUCUCUUCUGGGCUGACAAUUCUUCUUAGAGGGACUGGCGGCUCCUAGCCGCACGAGAUAGAGCAAUAA